CGCCCCUCCGCCAUGCUGCCACCUGCCUGCGGGUAACCAGGGGACGUACCUGGGCCAGGACAGCCUCAGGCUACAUGGCUCAUCCCAGGAAGAUCAAACGUUGGCCGUGAUGAAAUAUGGGACCUGGGUGGAGAUCCCUCCUCCAUUGUUUGUGGGGAAGAAGAGACACAGACACAGAGCAGGAGGCCACGUGGAGACGGAGGCAGAAACUGGAGUGAUGCGGCCACAAGCCCAGGGACGCCUGGAGCCCUCAGGACCUGGGAGAGGCAGGAAGGAUCCUCCCCUACAGCCUCUGGAGGAAACACCUCCCUGACACUCCUUGAUCUCAGACUCCUGGUUUCCAGGACUGCCGGAACAUUUCAGCCCCCGAUGGUGGCGAUUUCAGAAGAGACCUCAGGAAAUUAAUCCACUGCCAACAGCAUCCCUUUUCUUCCUGACCUCCUGCCUCCUUUCUUCCUGACACAUGCUCGUCCCUUGGUGCACAUUGGGAAGAAAUUCAGGAAUCUCGGGACACCAGGUGUCAAUGGGACAUAGCAAGAAUGAACUGUCUGGACCCAGGGAGGGAGGGAACAAAAAGAACAAAGGGACUAAAAUGGCGCAUUUCCGGGUUCUUCAUUGUUAACUUCCCCGCGCCCGGAAAGACACGGGUGGACUGCGCAGGCGCAACCCGACCUCCGACGGAGAAAAACCGGAACCCGCCUAGCCACGCCCACUGCCCCGCCCCCGCCCCGCCUACUGUCCCGCCCCCAACCCGCCUAUGUCCCGCCCACUCCCGGGCCCAGGACAUAAAAGCCGCUCCCGGUGGGGGCGCGGUGCCAACUUCCUCGGCCCCUGCUCAUUUGCCGAUCUAGGAACCUCGCCUGAGAACGCGGGAGCGACUUCAUCGGCCUCCACCCCCGGAGACCGGUGAACCUCGCCCCUCCUUCACAUUGGCUUGUAAAUAAAGUUUUCUUUUACUUUGCCUACUUGCCUGUUCUCUGGCAUUUACUCUGGUGGUCGUCUGGAGCAAAUCAUGAACCACAACCACCAAUGCCAACCGAGGCUGCAGACCUCCAGAGGUCUUCACUCACUCCUUGAGAGACUGCACCCAGCAGGGGCCGAAGGUAAUGCUCUCCUUGAUUAGAGCAAAAUAAACAAGAAAGGGCCGGGCGCGGU